rnacentral:lncRNA from 1 species
UCGAAGAUACUUUAAGCAUGAUUUAAUAAUGUUGCAUAUUUGCACAAAUAUUUUAAAUAGGAUGAAUAGUCAUCUAUCUAACACCUAACACUAUCAAAUAAAAAACAGAGAAAAAAGCGACUAGUAUUUUAUCAUGCUGCUUAUCCUGGGUAAAUACCAUGUUAUAAUCGUCUUCUACCCUACACCAACUCAGUUUACGCAGCACUCAUCUGCUCAUUGGACAAAUCCAAUGGACAAAAUCAUCUGCAUCCAUCCAACGGCUCAGAUCCGUUCCGCCUACGAUCUCCUCCGGCCCCACCGCAUCCCAUCUAUUCUCCUCCUUGACCGCCUCCAUCACCGCCCCACCUCCUCCGUCGCCCACGUCCUCGCCUCCGUCCCCUCCAGAAGUUGCCGCCUCCACCUCAGAUCCGCAUCCGUCCCCGCCGCCUCCCGAGUCCCGCCCCGUCUCCACCUCGGCAGCCGCCUCCGACCCCGCCGCCCCCCUCGCCCCCC